GUGAAAGAAAAAGUACGUACUUUAUGAGUUGCCCUUGAGUGCUACAUUCUGGAAGUGCCACCGUCUCUAAUCCGUCCCAUCAUGGCCGGCCUCACCAUUGUUUUAUAGACUUUGCCCUUCAUCCUAGCGGAGACUCUUGUUACAUAGAACAUCAGACACCUUCCGCCAACUGUUCCACCCCGCUUGGACCAGUUUCUUCACCGGUAACAAAGGCUACCAUUGGUGUCGCAAUGGCUGGUAUUGGUUAGGAUGCCACAGUGUGGAGUGUCCUCUGCAAUUUGUGGCCAAUUCCGGUACCCCAGGAACAAAGCACGAUCAACGGCGACCGUGGAACAGUGCCUGCUAGAACAAAUGGAGGUAAAUUCCUUUAUUAAUAUUGCCAAAUUCAAUCAAGAAGGCGCUGGCAUCCCCACUCCACCCGCCUUGUAACAGCAUGGGCGUGUCAUGUGUCACAUGGGAGCCAUGCGGCUCGAUGUGUGGGUCACGUGAUGUAAUGCGGGUACAGUCGCCCAUGCAGGAGUAUCAAGAAGCCUUAAGGGAAAUCCCUGAAGCCCCUACGGAGUAGACUUAUUUGUGAUCUUGCUCUUUCGGUCACAACUCAGAGCUCGUUUUAGGUGAGGGGAAGACUGUAUAUUGGGUGUUAAACAUGUCUCUCUUUGUCUCACCUCCUUUUUCACCAUGACAGACCAAUACAGAGCCUGCAUCACAAGAGACGCUGCAGUGAUCCGCCUGUUGAUCUACACUUUUCUUCCCUCACUUGUGAAUGAGACCCUGAGAUACUUGAACCCCUCUACUUGGGCCAGACUCUUUGCCUCAACCGAGAGACGGUACACCACCCUUUUCCAACUCAGGGUCAUGGCCUCAGAUUAGUCGGUGCUGAUUUUUAUCCCGGCCGGUUCACACGACUGCAAACUACAACAGCGAGAGUUAAAAGUUCACAGCUUGAAGCCAUCAUAACCAGACCAUCUGCAAAAAGGAGAGAUGUAAAACUGACUGAAGAGCCCAUAUUAAGGGGUCCAAUUCCACAUACUUACAGAGAACCCUCACAGGACUCCCCAAGGGACGCAGUCGAACGUUUUUUCCAAGUCCAUAAAACACAAGAAGACUGUUUGGGCGAACCUCAAAGCACCGUACAGAACACUGCUGAGGGUUUUCUUUUUUUGUUUGUUUUUGUUUUUAUCUCCCCAGCUCGCUCAGGUUACAAUAUUUGGUGAAUUUCACAAUAUAAAAAUAAAAAAGGACUCGUGUUCACCAUGCAGUAAUUUUGCUGCAUGUAUACCACUCAAAAUAAGCCAAUAACUGUCGUCUAUGAUCCGUAAAUGCACGAAUGAGUAUUUCAUUAAGUGAACGUUACAGGGUGAAUGUUCAGAGCUGAAUCAUGAACUGAAUGAUAUAGUACAGAAAGAGCUGAACAAUUCUUUGUAACCAAUUCUUGUAAUUCAGAAUAGCUCAAAGAAUUAAGAAUUACUGAUGCCACUGUAAAAGUAUAUUCACACAAAAUGAAUUGUCUGAGUGAGAGUAAAAGGUCAAUGAAAGCCUAGUUUUAUUCAGGUUUUACACUAAUUUCAGUUUUAAACCAUAUUUCCACUGAAACUUUAGAUUGAAUUCCCCAUUAGCAUUCAGACGGUCAAAUGUUAAUCUUCCAUAAUAGUAAGUAAAUUUCUUUCAGCUUGUCCCUUUCGGGGUCACCACAGCGUGACAUCUCAGAUGAACGCACAUAUGUUUGGCACAAUUUUUACGCCGGAUGCCCUUCCUGCAAGUUGGAAUAGUCAGAAGACAUGUUGCAGCGUUGUUACUAUUUUCUGUAGGCUAUGUUGUUCUUACACGUCUCACACACAAAAAAAAAAAAAAAAAAACAAUAAAAUUAGUA